rnacentral:sRNA from 1 species
CAGGCUUUUUCAGAACAGUCACAUUUCGCAGGAAGUCAGACGGGCGGAUGGACUGCGUAAGUCGCAUCGUGUUAGAGUGGAAUUAGGACGUAGCACCUCGUCACAAUGUGUUAAAAUCCAGGUACAAGCGAGUAUUUCCUUGGGGAAAGAAAACGUCUGGGCAAUUUGGUGGCACCUUUAUCUUUCUUUCUCUUUUAGAAAUGGUCGUUAAGAGAUAUUAGCGGGAGUCUGAGAAUUGGAUAUCAAGGUCUAUUGUUGUAUUUCUCAUUCAUAUUGUCCGGAGUUAUGACAUGACUUGCAGCUCCAUCUUCGGACUCAAUAUUGUCCUUGAAUUAUAUUCCAUAUAAAAUCAUGUCUGUGACCUUCUACACCCAAUAUUAUACAUAGGAAUGUACAGAGAGUUUGUGGAUGAACACGCGGGUUGGUAACACACUUCUGGAAGUAUUUUGAACCACUGAGCCCAAUUAAUUCUCCGCAGUGUUCUCCACCCAUGGCCAGCAGCCAGUAGGUACCCCAUACAAGUUCCAAUAUUUUACGCAUCAGGG